UAUGCACCUGUUAGCAUGUACUUUGGUUUAUGGUCUGGAUCCCCAACAGACCGCAGGAAGUUCAAGAAGGACGAACAAAGUGUGGAUGCUUCAGUCCUUCCUAGAAGUGGGCACAAAAUAUUCACAGGAGGAAAUAUAAAGAAAAAGUCUGGAGCAGAGACUGAAGGAAAGGCCAUCCACAGACUGCCCCACCUGGGGAUCCAUCCCAUUCAUUUUCAGUGAAUGAGUGCACGUUUUGUGGGAGUAUAUUAUAAAUUUGAUCCAGAAAUUUUAAUAAUAAAAUUAUGACUGAACAAAGAAUUUUCAUCUCUAGUAAAAUUCAGAAUCAUAUCAUACUGAAGAUUUAACUGCAUAAAA
rnacentral:lncRNA from 1 species